AUGCUUUGUGAAAAUGACAUCACAGAGCCGAGUGGGAAGGGGGGGCAGGUCAGGGGGCGGGCUCCAGGCAGCCUUUGUGAGCCUGUCCCUGGGGUGGGUUGUCCACCCCACACAGAGCACUGCACCUGGCUGGGGGCAGUUCUGACACUAGUGUGCCCAAGCCAGCCAAAGUGCAAAACGAAAGCAAUUGUGCAGCAGAAAUGUAAUGCCGAGAGUUCUCUUCAUGACCUAACACCGGUGUCCCUGAGCACAACUCCUGGGCUUGGGGGCACAGCAGGCUGUAUGGCCACCCUGGCUCACUGCUUGCCCAUCGUGCCUUGUCCUUUGGGCCACAGGAAGCCACAGCUGCAGCCAAGGGAUUCUGUGCAACCAGGGAACAGGUGACCUGCAGUACAGUGAAGCUUUUCUGUCUCAUUAAAAGCUUUCCAGAUACCUGCUUUCUCCUCUCUGCUGGCGAUCUGGUAUCAUUUGUUUAAAAAAAAGGCUGGAGGAGACAGAAUUGAUAAAUAAGUUAUUGCUCGUGUUUUCUAGUCACCCAGGGCCUUUGGACACUUCGCUGAAGUGUAUCAUUAACAACCGAGGCAUUGCAGGCAUAACUGGUGAGCAGCGUGGGGUGUGCGUGCUGCCUCCACACCUGCGGCACGCAUUUCCACCAGGUGGGCUCAGCAUCACCAGGUGGGCUCAGCAUGUCCCACAGUCUCCCCUCACCUUGGGGUUGUCCUCACCUGCAUGGCACAGCGAGGUGCCAGGCAAGUGCUUUCCUUCCUUUUGCAGAGGUUGCUCAUUCCUGGGCUGCUGGGAGGCUCCACGUUUCAGACCCUGAGGUAAAAGGCUUGGCCAUGUGCACCACUCUCCCUGUCUGACCUGAAGCAUGGCCAAAUCACUUGCUAUUAACCUGAAAGGAAAAUGUGGGCCUAAGAAUGUUUUAGAACUCUUUAGAAGGGUGAAGACUGAAUCAAGUGCUAAUGUUUUAUUAUCUGGCUUUCCUUAGCAAGCUCUCUCUGUUCACUGAGCUGAGCAAAAUUUUGAAGUCAUACUUUAGGUGUGGAAGAGACCUCAUAAAUUCUAGUACUUAUGGAAUCUCUGUAAAGUAUUUUCUCUUUGGGUUUCAACAAAGACAUUCUCAAUGAAGAGCAUUCCAGGGCAAAGGUGCAGAGAUACAGUCUAAGCAGUCUCAGUGGUUUUCAUCAGCUUAGUGGAAAAAGUUAUAUGUUGCAGAAGGAUAUUUUUUCUAAAAAAGGCUCAAUUAAAAGUUUCCACGUUACAUAAGUGAAUUAAAGUUUAGGACUGAGGAGGCUAAGACAUGUUUUGGCCGUGCCACCUUGCCCAGACAGACACCUGCAAGCCAUGCCACCUGAUAUGACUAUGCUACAGGAGUGGCAGGGCAAAGCGCAGUGACAGGAUCAGGCUCUAAGCCCUGUGUGCAGAUGGGGAUUCCCGCUGAGUGACUUCAGCUGAGAAUAUAUGAAUUGUCUUCAGUGCUGGUUUUCUGAAAAAUUUAAACUUGCUCCUAGUGGUUUCCUUUUCUAGACAGUCACACAGGUCCAUGGGGCUUGUAUAGGAUUUAUGGAGAGUGUAGGCAAGUGAGUCUUGGAUGGUGUAUCCUACACAAUUGUACCACAACCUGGAAAACACAUAAAAAUGCAGAAUCCUUACUUUAUGUUCCCUUCUAGCUGAAUUCCUAUAGCGAAUGCCAGAUGUUCCUGUUCAGCAGUAUCAUGUACUUAAUUAUCAGCUGAAGGAAUUCUAAAGGGCUGUAGGAUUGAUGGGAGGUGACCAGAAGGUCAGUGUGGUCUCCCAGGUUAGCAUGGGAGGGGAUAACAAGAAGCUCAGUAGCACUAUCCCAGGCUUUGGCUGGUGAGUCCCAUCAGGCUGGGUAAUACUUCCUAUGUCCUGUCCAGGAUGAGCUGGAGUUUGUGUGGGAUUUGAGACAGGGCAUUUUAGAGCGUCUGCUUAUCUAAUAGUCCCAGUCAGAAAGCAGAUGAAAUUUCCAGACUUGCCAGUCAAUAUUUUUGAUGGCUAAGUUUCUGUGGAUCAUACCUUUAAUGUUAUCCUGAAAUACAUUUUGGUGUGGUGUAAGCGCGUUAUCACUCAGAGACAACACAAAGUGCCUCGGGCACUAGGCAGAGGGCCAAAUCUUGUCCACGGGAUGAAUAUUUGCAGUUCCUCUUGACUCCCCAGUAUCUGAAGGUCAAGUCUGACCCACAGUCUCCGACAAAGCUGAAAAGAUAAGAGUGCCAAAGAAGUGGUAAGAGGGCAAAGGUAGUUAUCAGCAGUUUCCAGUUGCUUUGUUCUGGCAAUGGGGAGGUAACAGUGUGUGAGAGGAGACAGAAGGAUCACACUGAGCAGAGCCCUUGGUUUCUAGCUGUUUGAGUGUAAGGCAUUCUGUUAUUUUGUUUUAAGUGGCUUUGAGCUCCUACAUCACCCUUUUUUUCGGGCUGGACCCAAUUGUGCCCUUGACUGACUGUACAUUGCUUCUGCUGACUUAGGCAGGCAGGUCCAUUUUGAAAGCAGGCUCUUCUGUGGCGAGGAUAAGGGGCAUGUAAGAGGCAUUCAGGUGCUCUGCCCCUGGUCCACAAAGACCUCUCUGUGUAGUCCUUCAUGCAGACAUCAGUGAGUCAGCAGUACUCAAUGCUGUCUGCUAAACAGUGAUGCUGAGAAGACCAACACCUUAUGAAACUCAGUCUUACGUGCAGAGAUUACAAAUGAAGAGAGCAUGCUGAGCCUCGGGGCAUGCUAUCAGGGAUAGCCAGAGUGCUGGUCCGCCAGCAAGUGCUGAAGCUCUUGGGUUUUGAUGUGGUAAUGUGACCUCUGUUCUCCAGCCUUGUGCUUUUUGCAUACAGAAAGAUGAAGGGAUUCCUAGAUGCUCACUGGGAGGAAAACAGCCAAACCCACCUGACUGAAGAGUAGGCACCCUAACAGAGCUGACCUUCCUCUCAGCCUGUUUGCUGUUUAAGAUCUCCUGCAGUGGAUCCCCUCACAAAACUGUUCCUGCUCUUUGCAGGAGGGUUGAAUUUAUCCAUACCCUCUUCUGCAGGGGCUCCAAAUGAAACCUCUCACAAACUGGAAGCAAGUGAGGUAUGUUCCUCUCUGUAACUGUGCUUUUCCAGUCUCUAGUUCUGCUGUCCUUGCCAGGUCAGAGCAGGGUGUUAGGUGGCAGAGGCACAUGGUGAGCAUGCAAAGGUGUUGCACAACCUGCUUUGUGGUGUUGUGCCUGCUCUGCCAGGUUCAUGGGCUCCAAGAAGAGAUAGUUACCGUUUUUAAAGAAAAAAAACCUGAAGGAUUCACAUGCUUAUCUCCAGGCCCCACCCUCCAAACGGUUGCUCUGCCCUAGCAGACAGUCCCUUCUGUCUUGAACUGAGCUCAGUGCAACCUGCAGUUUGGGGGUGGAAAGCAGCCUGGAGCAGCAGGCAGCAAAAGCUGAAAGGGUUUGCAUUUAGACUGAAGCAUGGAGUGAGCAUUGUGCUCUGGAAAGAGACAGACUCGCAGCCCCAUCCUGAGGGAAGCCUCCUGGACAGUUCAACAAGAUGCAAAAUAAAUUACUAGAAAGUCUACA
ensembl:lncRNA